GGGCAAACGCUGGGCGGCGUGCCUAGUACAUGCAUGUCGAGCGCGGGAAGCGAGCUGAUCCCUUCGGGGUGACGCUCGUGGAACGAGCGGCGGACGGGUGAGUAACACGUGGGCAACCUGCCUGUAAGAUCGGGAUAACUCCGGGAAACCGGGGCUAAUACCGGGUAAUACUUUCUUUCGCAUGAAGGAAAGUUGAAAGAUGGCUUCUCGCUAUCACUUACAGAUGGGCCCGCGGCGCAUUAGCUAGUUGGUGAGGUAACGGCUCACCAAGGCGACGAUGCGUAGCCGACCUGAGAGGGUGAUCGGCCACACUGGGACUGAGACACGGCCCAGACUCCUACGGGAGGCAGCAGUAGGGAAUCUUCCGCAAUGGACGAAAGUCUGACGGAGCAACGCCGCGUGAACGAUGAAGGUCUUCGGAUCGUAAAGUUCUGUUGUUAGGGAACAACAAGUACCGUGCGAAUAGAGCGGUACCUUGACGGUACCUAACGAGGAAGGCCCGGCUAACUACGUGCCAGCUCCCGCGGUAAUACGAAGGGGCAAGGCGUUGUCCCGAAUUUGUUGGGCGCAACGCCGCACUCAUUUGGUUCCUUAAUUUUGA
rnacentral:rRNA from 1 species